CCUACGGGAGGCAGCAGUGAGGAAUAUUGGUCAAUGGGCGGGAGCCUGAACCAGCCAAGUCGCGUGAGGGAAGACGGUCCUAUGGAUUGUAAAGUACUUUCAGCGGGGAGGAAGGGAGUAAAGUUAAUACCUUUGCUCAUUGACGUUACCCGCAGAAGAAGCACCGGCUAACUCCGUGCCAGCAGCCGCGGUAAUACGGAGGAUGCGAGCGUUAUCCGGAUUUAUUGGGUUUAAAGGGUGCGUAGGCGGAUUUUUAAGUCAGCGGUAAAAUGUCCGGGCUCAACCCGGGCCGGCCGUUGAAACUGGGGAUCUUGAGUGGGCGAGAAGUAUGCGGAAUGCGUGGUGUAGCGGUGAAAUGCAUAGAUAUCACGCAGAACUCCGAUUGCGAAGGCAGCAUACCGGCGCCCGACUGACGCUGAGGCACGAAAGCGUGGGGAUCGAACAGGAUUAGAUACUCGGGUAGUC
rnacentral:rRNA from 1 species